rnacentral:rRNA from 1 species
AACAAACGCUGGCGGCGUGCCUAAUACAUGCAAGUCGAACGGGGAAAGCUUUCGGGUGAGUACUAGUGGCGCACGGGUGAGGAACGCGUGGAUAAUCUGCCUUAGAGUGGGGGAUAACUAGUCGAAAGAUUAGCUAAUACCGCAUAAGACCACGAGAGCUGCGGCUUUUGAGGUCAAAGGUUUUUCGCUCUAAGAUGAGUCCGCGUAAGAUUAGCUAGUUGGUGAGGUAAUGGCUCACCAAGGCGACGAUCUUUAACUGGUCUGAGAGGAUGAUCAGUCACAAUGGAACUGAGACACGGUCCAGACUCCUACGGGAGGCAGCAGUAGGGAAUAUUGCACAAAGGAGGAAACUCUGAUGCAGCGACGCCGCGUGAGUGAUGAAGGCCUUCGGGUCGUAAAGCUCUGUCGCAGGGGAAUAACACAAUGAAGGUACCCUGUAAGAAAGGAUCGGCUAACUUCGUG